rnacentral:rRNA from 1 species
UGAGUUUAUAAUAAUAAAAUUAAUUUUAAUUUAUAAGUUUUGUAUAAUUUAUAGAAAAAAUAAUAUUAAUGAUAGUGUAUUAGUAUUGUGAAAGAAUAUUGAAAUAUUUUGAAAAAUAGUUAAUAUAAAAGAAAUUUUAAUUUAAUGUACCUUGUGUAUCAGGGUUUAUUAAAUAAAAAAUAUAUAAUUAAUAUUUUUCUCGAAUUUAAGAGAGCUAUUUUAUUAUUUUAGUUAUUGUAGCAUAAUUAUUAAAAAUAAUAAAAUAGAAAUGAAACGUUAUUCGUUCUUAAAUAUAUCUAGUUUUUUAAGAAAUAAAUUUAAUUUAGAUAUUAAAUUGUAAUUAAUUUUUUAAAUAAUUAAUUAAUGAUUUAAUAUUAAUAUUUUAAGGGAUAAGCUUUAAAAUAAAAUUUUAUAAAUAACAAUUUAAAUUUAAAAUAUAUAGGCUUAGAAUUAGUCAUUAUUAAAAAUUAUGUUAUAAUUUAUUUUAUAAUUAAUAUUAUUUAUUUUUAUUUUAAAAAUUUAUUAAAAUAUUUAUUAUAAUAAUAAAAAUAAAGAAAUAAUGAUAAAAUUAGUAUAUAUUGGUGUAUUAGAUGAUAUUACAAUAAUAGGUUUAUAUAAGGAACUUGGCAAAUAUAAUACUCACCUGUUUAUCAAAAACAUGUCUUUUUGAAUAUAGAUAUAAAGUCAGGCCUGCCCACUGAAUAAUUUUAAAGGGCCGCGGUAUUUUGACCGUGCAAAGGUAGCAUAAUCAUUAGUUUUUUAAUUGGAAGCUUGCAUGAAUGGUUAAAUGAGGUAUUUACUGUCUCAUAUAAAAUUUUAAUAGAAUUUAAUUUUUUUGUUAAAAAGCAAAAAUUUAUUUAAAGGACGAGAAGACCCUAUAGAGCUUUAUAAUUUUAUGUUAUUAUUUAUAAAGAUUAAUUAAAAUUUUAUCAAAAAAAUUAUUUUAUUGGGGUGAUAAUAAGAUUUAAUAAACUUUUAUAUUUAUUAAACAUUAAUUUAUGAAUAGUUGAUCCAUUAUUAGUGAUUAAAAGAAUAAGUUACCUUAGGGAUAACAGCGUAAUUUUUUUUAAGAGUUCAUAUCGACAAAAAAGAUUGCGACCUCGAUGUUGGAUUAAGAAUAAUUUUUAGGUGUAGAAGUUUAAAGUUUAGGUCUGUUCGACCUUUGAAUUCUUACAUGAUCUGAGUUCAAACCGGCGUAAGCCAGGUUGGUUUCUAUCCUUAAAAUAUAAAAAUAUUUUAGUACGAAAGGACCAAAUAUUAAAAUUAUUUAAAUUUUAUAAUAAGAAAAUUAUUAAGUU